GUGGGGAAUAUUGGACAAUGGGCGCAAGCCUGAUCCAGCAAUGCCGCGUGGGUGAAGAAGGCCUUCGGGUUGUAAAGCCCUUUUGUACGGAAAGAAAUCCUGGUGGUUAAUACCCGCCGGGGAUGACGGUACCGUAAGAAUAAGCACCGGCUAACUUCGUGCCAGCAGCCGCGGUAAUACGAAGGGUGCAAGCGUUAAUCGGAAUUACUGGGCGUAAAGCGUGCGUAGGUGGUUUCUUAAGUCUGUCGUGAAAGCCCUGGGCUCAACCUGGGAAUGGCGAUGGAUACUGGGAGGGUAGAGGGCGGUAGAGGAUGGCGGAAUUCCCGGUGUAGCGGUGAAAUGCGUAGAGAUCGGGAGGAACAUCCGUGGCGAAGGCGGCCAUCUGGACCAGCACUGACACUGAGGCACGAAAGCGUGGGGAGCAAACAGGAUUAGAUACCCUUGUAGUCC
rnacentral:rRNA from 1 species